rnacentral:rRNA from 1 species
UGUGUAGGCGGUUGUUUAAGUUUGGUGUGAAAUCUCCCGGCUCAACUGGGAGGGUGCGCCGAAUACUGAAUGACUCGAGUGCGGGAGAGGAAAGUGGAAUUCCUGGUGUAGCGGUGAAAUGCGUAGAUAUCAGGAGGAACACCGGUGGUGUAGACGGCUUUCUGGACCGUAACUGACGCUGAGACACGAAAGCGUGGGUAGCAAACAGGAUUAGAUACCCUGGUAGUCCACGCCCUAAACGAUGCAUAUUUGGUGUGGGCAGUUCAUUCUGUCCGUGCCGGAGCUAACGCGUUAAAUAUGCCGCCUGGGGAUACAGUCGCAAGGCUAGAA